rnacentral:rRNA from 1 species
CAGUAGCCGCGGGAAUACGUAGGGGGCAAGCGUUGUCCGGAAUUAUUGGGCGUAAAGCGCGCGCAGGCGGUCAAGUAAGUCUGGUGUUUAAUCCCGGGGCUCAACCCCGGAUCGCACUGGAAACUGGUUGACUUGAGUGCAGAAGAGGAGAGUGGAAUUCCACGUGUAGCGGUGAAAUGCGUAGAGAUGUGGAGGAACACCAGUGGCGAAGGCGACUCUCUGGGCUGUAACUGACGCUGAGGCGCGAAAGCGUGGGGAGCAAACAGGAUUAGAUACCCCAGUAGUCCCUGUCUCUUAUACA